GUAGGUGAACCUGCGGAAGGAUCAUUACCGAGUGAGGGCCCUCUGGGUCCAACCUCCCACCCGUGUUUAUUUACCUUGUUGCUUCGGCGGGCCCGCCUCACGGCCGCCGGGGGGCAUUCGCCCCCGGGCCCGCGCCCGCCGAAGACACCAUUGAACUCUGUCUGAAGAUUGCAGUCUGAGCGAUUAACUAAAUCAGUUAAAACUUUCAACAACGGAUCUCUUGGUUCCG
rnacentral:misc_RNA from 1 species